AGAGUUUGAUCCUGGCUCAGAAUCAACGCUGGCGGCGUGCGUAACACAUGCAAGUCGAACGCGAAUGCGGGGGCAACCCCGCUAGUAGAGUGGCAAACGGGUGAGUAACACGUGGAUAACCUACCCAUGGGUGAGGAAUAACUCGUCGAAAGGCGGGCUAAUACCGCAUAACAUUCUUGUAACACAUGUUGUGAGAAUCAAAGCCCCAAAAGGGCGCCUGUUGAGGGGUCCGCGGCUGAUUAGCUAGUUGGUAGGGUAAUGGCCUACCAAGGCGACGAUCAGUAGCCGGCCUGAGAGGGUGUACGGCCACACUGGAACUUAGACACGGUCCAGACUCCUACGGGAGGCAGCAGUGGGGAAUUUUGCGCAAUGGGCGAAAGCCUGACGCAGCAACGCCGCGUGGGUGAUGAAAUCCUUCGGGAUGUAAAACCCUGUCAGCUGGGACGAAACGUCCCGCAAGGGAAAUUGACUGUACCAGCAGAGGAAGCCCCGGCUAACUCCGUGCCAGCAGCCGCGGUAAUACGGAGGGGGCAAGCGUUGUUCGGAAUUACUGGGCGUAAAGGGCGUGUAGGCGGUUGGGUAAGUCAGUUGUGAAAGCCCCAAGCUUAACUUGGGAAUUGCAACUGAAACUGCUCAGCUAGAGUUCAGGAGAGGAGAGCGAAACUCCCAGUGUAGCGGUGAAAUGCGUAGAUAUUGGGAGGAACACCGGUGGCGAAGGCGGCUCUCUGGACUGAAACUGACGCUGUGGCGCGAAAGCUAGGGGAGCAAACGGGAUUAGAUACCCCGGUAGUCCUAGCCGU
rnacentral:rRNA from 1 species